ACUGUCCAUUUAUACAGAGUUUCGGGUCACCAUAUUGGCUAAAGUGUUUAUUAUUACGUUACUCGGUGGUUAACAACCUGUCAUACCGGGGACAGGUUGUCGUUGUGUGCCACACGUGUAGGUCUGUCACGGUGCAUUCGUGUUCCGUCGAUGACAGCAGGACUCCGCGACACGUUCUGGACAGAAAGGAGGGAUUACUGUUUUGUUUUGGAAACAUUGACAGCCAGGAGCUAGCACUAAACUGUCACAGUCACUACCGCGGUGGUCUUUUCCACUUUCGAUUGUCCCCAUGCAAGUUUUUUGACGGAUUUCACUUUUUCUCCAGACCACUCAGUGGUUCUGGCUGGACUAUAAGGACAGUGUUACAAAAGUCAAGUCUGUUGAUGGGGAAGUCAAUUGCCUCUUCUGCUAUUUUGAGUAAUGCUUGAUGCUCGUUCGCUGUCAAAACGAGUAUUUCUGAGAAACCGCCCGGCUCUGCAGUUGAGUGUAAUAUGUGAGUGACGUGGGUCAACGAGGCCUGGGCCUGCUUGGGCGAGGAUCAGCAACCGAGAAUUAGGGCUCGGAGAUUACCACUGUUUAUUUGCAUAGUACCUCUUUGGUCCACACGCUUCCGAGGAAAGGGAGCCUUUCAAUUGCAAUAAUUGAUGCCAUUUCUAAGCAGCCAAGAGCCGAGGUGGCGAGAACAGCAACACGGCUGGACCAGAGCGUCUGUCAAACUUGGACAGUUCGAAAAAGAUGAGAGCUCGGUUUCCAAUGUGACAAGGGUCAGCGCACACUCUAAGCAAGAAGCAGACUUUCACCAGAUGGGAGGGGGUGCCAGCACUAUCAUGAGGGACAUUUAGGCCCAGCGUUUUUAUUUAUUGAGGGGUGGGCGGGUUGUUUUCUUUGACUUCUUUUGGUUUUUCAUUGUUAGUAAUAGGUAUAGGUGCUUAAAAAAACUUGGGUUGUCAUUUUCACGUCAUUUAUCCCUCCCUGCCAUCCAAAUUGUUUGGAUUUGAAUCAGUUCCUUGUUGAACCAGAAUUGAAUGAUUGCCUGAAUCUAAACCCCCAGUAUUGCUAUGGUUAUGUUCCCUAGAAGUUUCAUUGAUCGUUCUAUUGGUGCCUGGUAGCCACUAUCAUUCAACUAAGCAGUAUCUCUAUUAGUGAAUGACUCUUAAUGGCACAACAGCUUCAAAUGUUACAAAAAUGAUGGCUGCAUACAAUGGUGGCUCCUCGGCUGUGGCUGCUCAUCACCCUCAUCACCACCCCCAGCAGCAGCAUCUCCCGCCUCCACACAUCCAUCAACACCACCACAUGGGCCAGAAUCUAUUGCAGCACCCAGGCUCCGCCGCUGCCAUUCACACCAUCCAGCAGCACACCUCCGCUGCCUCUGCCGCUGUGAUGCUAAACCCCGGUCAGCAGCAACCUUACUUCCCAUCUCCGGCCCCUGGACAGGCUCCUGGGCCUGCAGCAGCAGUUCCUCCUCCCCAAGUUCAAGCUGCCGCUGUCAAAGCUCACCAUCACCACCAUCAGCAGCACACACACCACCUGCAACACCAACAGCAGCUUGAUAUAGAGCCUGACAGGCCUAUCGGUUAUGGUGCGUUUGGGGUUGUCUGGUCAGUCACAGAUCCUAGAGAUGGAAAGCGAGUUGCCCUCAAAAAGAUGCCAAAUGUCUUCCAAAACCUUGUUUCUUGCAAGAGGGUAUUUCGAGAACUGAAAAUGCUAUGUUUCUUUAAACAUGAAAAUGUGCUCUCUGCUCUUGACAUCCUGCAACCUCCACACGUUGACUACUUUGAAGAAAUAUAUGUAGUAACAGAACUGAUGCAAAGUGACCUCCAUAAGAUCAUCGUGUCACCACAGCCUCUGAGCUCAGACCACGCCAAAGUUUUUCUCUAUCAGAUUCUUCGAGGAUUAAAGUAUCUUCAUUCUGCUUGCAUUCUUCAUCGAGACAUUAAACCUGGGAACCUCUUGGUCAACAGUAACUGUGUACUGAAGAUUUGUGAUUUUGGCCUGGCACGAGUGGAGGAGACAGAUGAGUCGCGGCACAUGACUCAGGAAGUGGUGACACAAUACUACCGCGCCCCAGAGAUCUUGAUGGGAAGCCGUCACUAUUCCAACUCUAUCGACAUUUGGUCUGUAGGCUGUAUCUUUGCUGAGCUACUGGGGCGAAGAAUUCUCUUCCAAGCCCAAAGUCCCAUCCAGCAGCUGGAUUUGAUCACUGACUUGUUGGGGACUCCUUCUAUGGAGGCGAUGAGGACAGCAUGUGAAGGAGCUCGUGCACACAUUCUCAGAGGACCGAACAAACAGCCAUCCCUUCCUGUUUUUUACACACUGUCCAGUCAAGUGACUCAUGAAGCUGUUCAUCUCCUCUGCAGGAUGUUAGUAUUUGAUCCGUCAAAGCGGAUUUCAGCAAAGGAUGCCCUGGCACACCCUUACCUGGAUGAAGGGCGACUACGCUACCACACAUGUAUGUGCAAAUGCUGCUACACAACAUCCUCUGGACGUAUUUACACAAGUGACUUUGAGCCUGUCACAAACCCCAAGUUUGAUGAUGGGUUCGAGAAAAAUCUAAGCUCUGUGAGACAAGUUAAAGCAGCUUGAUAAACUAAGUGACCCCGAGAAGCUAGCAGUCUCUAAGUCCGAGUUUGCCAACAUGGAGCACCUGGGCAUCGUCCGCCGCUCGGAUAGCCCGUGGGCCUCACCGCUACACAUCGUCCCUAAACCGAGUGGCGGGUGGCGACCGUGUGGUGACUACCGCCGCCUUAACGACGCCACUACGCCUGACCGCUACCCUGUUCCACACAUUCAGGACUUCUCAGGCCACCCGGCGGGCAAAAUCCUAUUCUCCAAGGUCGACCUGGUGCGCGGGUAAUACCAGGUUCCCGUGCACCCCUCAGACGUUCCCAAGACAGCUGUAAUCACUCCGUUUGGAUUGUUCGAGUUUCUGAGGAUGCCGUUUGGUCUUAAAAACCCGGCACAAUCUUUCCAGCGUUUAAUGGAUUCUGUGCUCAGGGACUUUGUGUUCGUCUAUUUGGAUGACAUCCUCGUCGCCCGGUCCUCGGAGGAUGAACAUCUGAUGCACCUCCGCGACCUCUUCGCAAAACUUGAGCAGCAUGGCCUGAUCAUCAACCCGGCGAAGUGUGUUUUCGGGGUUCCCUCUAUCCAGUUCCUCGGGCACCUCAUAGACAAGAACGGCGCCGCCCCCCUUCCAGCAAAGGUGGAGGCCGUCUCCGCUUUUCCCCGACCUCGCUUGGCUCAGGGCCUCCGGGAGUUCCUGGGGAUGGUGACUUUCUCCCACCGGUUCAUCCGUCGGGCGGCCCACAUCAUGCGCCUGCUCUACGAGGCUCUUAAAGACAAGGCCCCCAACCGGGACGUUGAAUGGACGGCCGAGAGGAUGGAAGCCUUCGAGGCUACGAAGGCCGUGCUGAGUCGUGCCGCUAUGCUGGCCCACCCGACCAACGGGGCCCCUGUCGCUCUCACUACCGAUGCAUUGGACUACGCUGUUGGAGCCGUAUUCAAACAGUGGGUCGGCGGCGCCUGGCAACCGCUUGCCUUUUUCAGCCGUCAGCUGGUCCCCAGGGAGCGCAAAUACAGCAUGUUUGAUAGAGAGCUCCUCGGCCUCUGGCUGGCGAUCCGCCACGGCAUAUGUUGACCAUAAACCCCUCACUUACGCCAUGUCCAAGGUGGCCGAGCCGUGGUCCGCCCGCCAGCAACGCCAACUGUCGUUCAUCUCAGCGUACACUACGGACAUCCAACACAUUGCCGGCAAAUCCAAUGUGGUUGCGGACUGCCUCUCGAGGGCGAUCGUCGGCACUGUGCAUCUGGGUCUCGACUACUCCCGCAUGAGCGCAGACCAGGCCUCGGACCACGGGGUGCAGGCCCUCAAGACUUCUGACACGCGUUUGCGCCUGGAGGAAGUCACAGUUGGUGACUUGGGCGUCAGGUUGCUGUGCGACCUCUCGGCUGACCAGCCUCGGCCGCUGGUCCCUGCAAACUGGCGGCGAGCUGUUUUCGAGGCGGUCCACAACCUCUCCCACCCCAGAAGUUCGUGUGGCACGUUCUCAAGAAAGAUGUGCAGGCCUGGGUCGACUCGUGCGUGGCCUGUCAGCGGGCUAAGGGGCAUCGCCUCCGGUGCGCCCCCAAGGAGGACCUGUUGUCCUCAUCCGCCGAACUCGUCUACAGCCAGCCACUGCGGGUCACCGGCGAAUUCAUCCCGGACGCCACAGCACCCUGGUCCGCAGCCAGGCAAUGGUCCUCCCUGCUGGAGGCCGCAAAAGGGUUCGCGCCGGUUCCCACAUCGCAACAUGGCACCCCAGCUGCCCGGCUGCCCCGUCACCUGCGCUCUGCGGAUUUUGUGUUUGUUCGUCAUGACGCCCACCGUGGACCUCUGUUCAGGGUCCUGGAGCACGGGGAUAAGAGCCUGCUCGUGGACAUUGGCGGCAGACCCGAGACUGUUCCCGUGGACAGGGUCAAACCCGCGCACCUGGACAUUGCCCAGCCUUUGGGGUUGGCCCUCCUCCCGCGCCGGGGUCAUCCCCCUUUGCCCUGUGCCCCUGCACCUGCCGGGGUGCCCUUGACCCCGGCUGGGCCCUUGUCCCGUGACUCAAUGGACAGUGUGGCCCCGCCCCCCUCGGCCCCUACAGUGCACACCCGCCGGGGUCGGGUCGUCAUCCCUCCACGGCACGAGGAUUUUGACUAUGGUUGAAUUCUGGGGGGGCUUGUGUGGUGUUAACAUAAUUCACCUGUGGGACCUCGAGUUGGGGUGUGGUUCCGCACGGACUGUUUUUGUUGUUGCGCUUCCGGAGUAAAGGUUAACAGAGUUCCCGCCGUUAUGCGAGUAGUGUUUUGAUGUCGAACAAUAAAACAAGUUUUGUUCCUGUGUCCGACACUCCGCCUCCGACUCCUUUUUUUUUCGGCGCUACACUAUCAUAUUAUUUAGCCAUUUUGAAGUCAUGUCGACCAAGUCACCCCUAAAUGAGUCAAGUGUCUUUUCAAUCUUCACCAGCCUUCAGGUAUUUUCAGAUACUAUAAAUCUGCACCCACCGUAUGCUGGACUUUGUUCACCUUUCACUUUGGGUGACUCAGCUGAGAUGACUUUUUACAGUGUGUAAGGUGUAUCCACGUGUUUCUUUCUGCUAUUUUGUCUAUGUCAUUCAGCUCUUGCUCAGUCUAUGCCAGUGUUCGGGUAAAACUGCAUGUACAGUAGAUGUUAAUUCAUAAACAGACAUAAGAUGAAUAGACAAAUUGCAGUAGUAAGAUUAUUAAAGCACAGUAACUUGUUACUUUUUUUUUUCUGAUGGUGUAGUUCAGGGAUGUCAAACUCAUUUAUCUUGCGGGCUACGUUGUAGUUCGGGUUUCCCUCAGAGGGACAUUUCGAGUGAAAGCAGCGUGGGAUCGAUUCCCGCUCAGUGAUGGUGUCGACAUCUGCACUGCGACUGGCUGGCGACCUGUUCGGGGUGAAGUCUGCCGCUACCCGAAGUUAGCUGGGAUUGGCUCCAGCUCUCUCUCCGAAUAAAUGCAGAAGGGUUGCGUCAGGAAAGGCAUCUGGCGUAAAAAAAAAAAAUCAAAAAGACAGUUACUGCCGGACCACCAUGGCAGUGGCACAAAAAUGGCUUCACACAUCAAUGCUGAUAAAAUUCCCAAUUUGUUUCUAGUCCUAUCAAGUUGAUUCAUGUGAAAUUUCCUAGUGACACGCCAUUAGAAAACAAUGUGUUUUUUAGUUUUGCAAAAGAAGUUAAUGGAUACACAGAAUCCCCCAACUUUUUUUUUUUUUUGCAUUCGUUUUCAAUUAAUAGCAUUGGUAUUAUCUCUGGAUCUGUGCAAACAAUACAAUCUUUUGGACACGUUUUUUUGUAUGUAGUUAUCAAAUUUGUUUUGUUUUUAUUUUAUUUAUUUUUUUUUGGGGGGGGGACCUUGAGUGGUUCCCACAGGUUUGUUUGGAAUAUCUAAGGUGUAAUAAUAGUGCUGGAUUUUUGUAAGAUAUUUAACUGUCCUCCCAGUAAUUAUUUAAGUACAUUUUUUCUUUUUACUUCUAUUUUUCCUGUCAGAGAGGGAAUUAAGACCAGUCCUAGUUUCAGCAAGCCAUCUCUUCCUAACAAACGUACAGGGCAAAUUAAAAAGUUGCAUUUUGGGAGCAUUAGUUGUGACAUUUUUGAUGGGGAGAUGGCUGCUCUCUUCCUCUUCUGCGGCCACAAUUAUGAAAUGUUUUGCAUAAAGCUCCAUAAAUUUCUCCUUACUCUGUCAGAAAGGUGUCAACUUUCUUUUUCUUAUUUUGUAGCACUCUUUCUGCGUGUAGUGCUUGGUAAACGUAAUGUUACAGGCUGCCAGUCAGUUUGUCAACCCAAUGUUUUUCAAUCCAUUGUUUUGUAGGAUUUUUUGAAUUUGCAUGAAGAGCAUUUUUUAAUUGCCCUUAAUACACACUCCCUGGAGUGUGAUCUUCAGGAAUGCCACUGUUUGCUUUAAAACAUGCAGUCAUUCCAAUUCUAUAUUCUUCAAAUGGUUCAUUGUUAUUUUAUUUUGCUCUUCCAAUGGCAGAACAAUUUGCUUUUUUUCUAAAUCUAGCAGAGGUGCGCGAUAUUAACCCUCAAACUCCCUGCUGCUAUAAGAAAGUACUUUGUUGUCAUACAAAUUUAUUGUACUUCCACACCAUUUAAGUGGUAAGAUUUUCUCAAGUCUUCCGUUCUCUGGACGAAUUAUCUUACAUCAACUUUAUGAGAUGUGAUACCUUUUAUGGGCGUUUUCACAUCAUCUUGAGUCCAACUUUUUUUUAGUUUUUUUUUUGUGUGUGUGUGUUUUUCUUAUUUUAUCCUGCAGGUUUGCUAUAUAUAUUUUUUUGUGUGCAUGUUGAGCUGGCCAGCAAAGUCAUAUUGUGUUAUCCACAAAUUUAGAUGUUUUAUUUUAGUAGGACAUUUGCUUUCUACAAACUUCUAGGCCUUACACAUCAUUAUUAUUAUUUUUUUUUCAGAUGUUCUGUUUCAACUAUUUUGGUAUUUAUCAACUAUUUUGCAAUUUGUUUUUCCCCUGUUGGAGUCAGUGGUUCACCUCGGGUGACUAUACUGACUUCCCCCUGAAAAGGGUGACAAUUACGUUCUGUUUGAGGUAAUUCUCAAGCUUCUACCACAAGUGGCGGAGAAUUCUUACCUCUGCAUCCUCAAACAGUUGUCACUCAAUUUCCUGUUCAAAUGAGGUAGCGAACCUCAACUCACACUUUUACACAUGCACACAUUUCACGUAGCUCAUGUUCAGGACACACCUUGCCCUUUUCUCAGUUUUAUAGACUAAUUAGUCGACUCGAUAGUGACUAGUAUUCUCGAGAUUUGGUUCUGCCGCAGUCACCCAGACGCGCAUUCAGUCAUUCCUCAUGAGUGUGGGAGUUUCCUACUCACCAGAGAUGUCUUCACUUCCUUCGGCUUCUCGUCAACCUUCAGCCACCAGACGCAAAGUCGAGGCCCAGUCCCGGAAAGGGUCUCAAGUGCCGUGGCCACGGUCUUUGCCUGGACGUCGACUCGGCCCCUGGAAACCUCAGAUAUCAUCCAUCAGUUUAUUUUGGAACAGCAGAAGGGGAGUCGGGUACCACUCUGCAUCAACCCACAGUCAGCUGCUUUCAAGA